GGGCUUCCUGUGUGCCAGAUGUGUACCGGGGGGGGUUCUGGGAAGAGGAAACCCUAGCCUCACCCUGGAAGGUACACAGCCUGCUCACGGGACCUGAGCUGUGGGGGAGGGAAGCCGGAGGAGGAGACUGGCUUGGACCCUGCCAGGGGGGGCAUCUCUCUCAGGACGCGAGCAUCAAUAUUUCAUCCUUGCUUCGCCUGCCAGCAUCCCGCUCCCUCCUCCCUGCUUCUCACCGGCUCUAGGACCCGGAGAGCUGGGCCACGCUGGCCUGACCCAGGGCGUCAUCACAGAUGUCCACGCUGCCUUCAGCUUGCCCGCCGUGCCAUCGUGGACUCCAGAGUCUGCGCAAGAAGCCGCCCUUCUGAACCAGGUGUCGUUGGUUUUUUCCCACCUCCCAGGCCUAGACAGGUGGAUAAAGGAAGCAGCGUGGGUGUUCAGGAGCACACAUCCCUCCGGCCAGCCCCCAGCCCAUCUCAUCUCGUC
ensembl:lncRNA